GACUUGGUAGCUCAGAUGGUAGAGCACUAGGCUAGCGAUUUAGUGGUCGUGCGUUCAAGUCCCACCCAAGACA